rnacentral:lncRNA from 1 species
AUGACAAAAGGACCGUCAUCCUUUGGAAAAUAUCACAAUAAGAGGUAUACACCGUGCUGUCACUAUUGCUCCAAGGUCUACCACCUUCAGAAGUUGGCCUGUGGCAAAUGUGGCUACCCUGCCAAGCUCAAGGAAAAGUAUAACUGGAGUGCCAAGGCUAAGAGACAAAACACCGCUGGGACUGGUUGGAUGAGGCACCUAAAGAUUGUCUACCACAGAUUCAGACAUGGAUUCUGUGAUGGAACAACACCUAAACACAAGAGGGCAGCUGUUGCAGCAUCCAGUUCAUCUUGA